rnacentral:tRNA from 1 species
AAAAGUUAAGUUAGUUUAAAAAUAAAAUAUCAGCGUGUGGAUUUGAAGAUGAAAGCUAUUUCACUUGAC